CAAGUGGUUGGUUUAUGCACAGUAACUGUGGCUGAUGUUAAUGCAUUUAUCGUUUAAAUUCUGACACAUUUCAACAACAAACUAUACUGCGCAAGUGGCUAUAUCGCACAGCAAAUCAAGUGUGGCAGCGAGACAUAGAACUACAUAGGGAAUCCACCGAAAAUCAGAUUAUUCGGAAAUAGACUUCACUGGAUCUUUGGAAACAGAAAAUAAUUACAUCGCUCUUUAUAGAACUCCUGUGUCGAGAUCCCAACAAGUAUGAAAGGGUCGAUGCUCAUUCCAAUUCUAAUAUUUUGCUUGAAAGAAGUCGUCGCAGCCACAGUAGGCACAAAGUUUUCCCAAAACCCAGAAAUAAAAAAUAUCGGAUUGGGAGAUUCAACAAAUUCAAGCUAUACUUCGAAUGCCUGUCAUUUCGACUGGUCGCUCAAGGAUGUCGUAAGAUUGAUGCGUGAUAGCAAAACGAAUGUGAUUAAGCUGAAUGUUUGGACUCAGCUGGCAGACAAU